GAUGAACGCUGGCGGCGUGCCUAAUACAUGCAAGUCGAGCGAACAGACGAGGAGCUUGCUCCUCUGACGUUAGCGGCGGACGGGUGAGUAACACGUGGAUAACCUACCUAUAAGACUGGGAUAACUUCGGGAAACCGGAGCUAAUACCGGAUAACAUGUUGAACCGCAUGGUUCAACAGUGAAAGACGGUCUUGCUGUCACUUAUAGAUGGAUCCGCGCCGCAUUAGCUAGUUGGUAAGGUAACGGCUUACCAAGGCAACGAUGCGUAGCCGACCUGAGAGGGUGAUCGGCCACACUGGAACUGAGACACGGUCCAGACUCCUACGGGAGGCAGCAGUAGGGAAUCUUCCGCAAUGGGCGAAAGCCUGACGGAGCAACGCCGCGUGAGUGAAGAAGGUCUUCGGAUCGUAAAACUCUGUUAUUAGGGAAGAACAAAUGUGUAAGUAACUAUGCACGUCUUGACGGUACCUAAUCAGAAAGCCACGGCCAACUACGUG
rnacentral:rRNA from 1 species